AAUGAGUUUAAUAUGUAUUAAUAUGGUAAAAUAAAUUAAUAUUUUUUUAGAAAAAGUUGUUGUCAAAUGGCUCUAUGAAAGAUUAACUUCUUAAAUGAAAAGUCGUUCCCAAAUGGCUUUAUCAAAGAUUAAAUAGUCGAGUUGUAUUAGGAGAAGCCAACUACUCAAGAUUUUUUAGGCACACCUCGCAACACAUGGGGAGGUGUUCUCGCAAGUUCCUGUGGGUCCCAGAUGUGUGCAAGAGUUUCACUAUGUUCCCCUAAGUUAUUAGAGACUAGGCUCGGGCGACUGUUUACUAAAAACACAUGUCUCUUCAAAGUCGUAAGACCAUGAUGGGGGAUGAUGCCCGCCCAUUGCCGGAAGGUCAAGGAAGUUGGUGAUUUGAUGACAGGGGUGCUGUCGGCCGAAGCCUCGGUGAACGGCGGUCAUAACUAUAACUGUCCUAAGGCAGCAAAAUUCCUUGUCGGGUAAGUUCUGAUCCAGUACGAAAGGCGUAACUAUCUGGGCUCC
rnacentral:lncRNA from 1 species